ACCGUGCAAAGGUAGCAUAAUCAUUAGUUUUUUAAUUGAAAGCUGGAAUGAAUGGUCGGACGAGAAAAUAACUGUCUCAAUUUAAUUUUAAUUAGAACUUUAUUUUUAAGUAAGAAAGCUUAAAUAAUUUUAAAAGACGAGAAGACCCUAUAGAGUUUUAUAUUUAGUUGUAUAUUAAUAUUUAAGUAUUUUUAAGUUUGUAUAUAAUAGAAUAUUUUGUUGGGGUGACAGAAAAAUUGAAUUAACUUUUUUUUCAGUUUAACAUUAAUUUAUGAGUAUAUGAUCCGUUGUUUACGAUUAUAAGAUUAAAUUACCUUAGGGAUAACAGCGUAAUUUUUUUUGAGAGUUCAUAUCGAAAAAAGAGUUU
rnacentral:rRNA from 1 species